GAUGAACGCUGGCGGUAUGCUUAACACAUGCAAGUCGAACGGACUCUUCGGAGUUAGUGGCGGACGGGUGAGUAACGCGUGAGAAUCUGGCUUUGGGUUCGGGACAACCACUGGAAACGGUGGCUAAUACCGGAUGUGCCGAGAGGUAAAAGAGAAAUUGCCUGAAGAUGAGCUCGCGUCUGAUUAGCUAGUUGGUGAGGUAAAGGCUCACCAAGGCAGCGAUCAGUAGCUGGUCUGAGAGGAUGACCAGACACACGGGGACUGAGACACGGCACAGACUCCUACGGGGGGCAGCAGUGGGGAAUUUCCCGAAAUGGGCAAAAGUCUGACGGAGCAAUACCGCGUGAGGGAAGAAGGCUCUUGGGUUGUAAACCUCUUUUCUUAGGGAAGAACAAAAUGACGGUACCUAAGGAAUCAGCAUCGGCUAACUCCGUG
rnacentral:rRNA from 1 species